AUGCUGCACCAGGAAAGCAUCCAGAGUGGCACUAUUACCAUUCCCAGCAGCAGUGGGUGCCUUCGUCUUGCCGCCCUUAUCAGCCGACAUGACCGGCUUGAAGUAGUGGGUGAAGAAGAACCAUGCACCCCAGAUGCUAUCAUUCCGCUUCACGCACUUGCGCGCGGCGCUGGAACCGGAGCUCUUGGUGUGAGACACAUGGACAGUUGUUGUGGUGGACACCGGGGCCGAGGUCACGGCGGCAGCAGCAGGCGAGUCCGAGUCAUAGAGCUGCGGGCAGCCGAGGCCAACAUCCAGCAUGUCGACGUUGGAUUCAUGGAGGUUGGUGGUCUGCAUGGCCGGAGGGGGAGGCGACGGGUCAGCGGCGAGGGGGAGGUUGAUGUCAGGGGGGGCGGCUGCGGCGGCAUGGAGGCAGCGCUGGAAGGGGCCUGGCGGCGGGAGGAAGAGGUCGAACUCGUCGUGGGAGGCAGUGUCCAUGGAGAGGAAGGUGGAGGGGCCCUGGUGCGGGUGGUGGGCCGUGGCGGUGUCCAUGGAGAGCGCGGUGAGCAGCGACUCCCCCAUGGAGGCGGCGGCGGCGGCGGCCGUGAGGGGCGGAGCAGCCCUGUUCCAGGCCUCGUCCCCCGGCGGCUGCGCGUCGUCCGUGGCUGCGCUGGUGCCCAACUCUCCGUCGCUUCCGCCUCCACCGCCUCCUCACCGCGCGCUCCUCUCCUCCGAAUCUCUCCACGAGCAUCAGUUAACAGCCAGGCUUCACAUCAAUCAAUCCCGCAUUCGAAGCCCAAAUCUAACGAGAAACCCCACGAAUUCGAGAUCCGGCCCGAGGAAAGCCACGUACCUACGCGAAAUCCAAGGGCUCCGCAACCCUAA
rnacentral:rRNA from 1 species